rnacentral:misc_RNA from 1 species
GAUGAAGAACGUAGCGAAAUGCGAUAAGUAAUGUGAAUUGCAGAAUUCAGUGAAUCAUCGAAUCUUUGAACGCACAUUGCGCCCGCCAGUAUUCUGGCGGGCAUGCCUGUUCGAGCGUCAUUUCAACCAUCAAGCCCUGCUUGCGUUGGGGUCCUGCGGCUGCCCGCAGGCCCUGAAAACCAGUGGCGGGCUCGCUAGUCACACCGAGCGCAGUAAUACAUCUCGCUUUGGGCGUGCGGCGGGUUCUUGCCGUUAAACACCCCCUUUUUACCAAGGUUGACCUCGGAUCAGGUAGGAAUACCCGCUCAACUUAAGCAUAUCAAUAAGCGGAGGA